CGGAGAUUAUGGAGCUUGCUUUAUUAACUUAGCAGCGAACGGGUGAGUAACACGUAGAUAAUCUAUCCUAUACUGGGGGAUAGCCCGAUGAAAGUUGGAUUAAUACCGCAUAUGGCUAUAUAGUUGCAUGAUUAUGUAGUGAAAGAUUUAUUGGUAUAGGAGGAGUCUGCGGCACAUUAGCUAGUAGGUGAGGUAAAGGCUUACCUAGGCGACGAUGUGUAGCCGGUCUGAGAGGAUGAACGGCCACAAUGGAACUGAGACACGGUCCAUACUCCUACGGGAGGCAGCAGUGGGGAAUAUUGCACAAUGGGGGAAACCCUGAUGCAGCAACGCCGCGUGAGUGAAGAAGGUUUUCGGAUUGUAAAGCUCUGUUAGCAGGGAAGAGGAAGGACGGUACCUGCAGAGGAAGCCACGGCUAACUACGUGCCAGCAGCCGCGGUAAUACGUAGGUGGCAAGCGUUGUUCGGAAUAACUGGGCGUAAAGGAUGCGUAGGCGGUUAAACAAGUUAUAUGUUAAAUAUAUAGGCUUAACCUGUAGAAAGCAUAUAAAACUGUUUAACUAGAGUGCAGGAGAGGUAAGUGGAAUUCCUAGUGUAGCGGUGAAAUGCGUAGAGAUUAGGAAGAACACCAGUGGCGAAGGCGACUUACUGGACUGUAACUGACGCUGAGGCAUGAGAGCAUGGGGAGCAAACAGGAUUAGAUACCCUGGUAGUCCAUGCUGUAAACGAUGGGUACUAGGUGUGGGUUGUGAAUAACAAUUCGUGCCGUCGCAAACGCAAUAAGUACCCCGCC
rnacentral:rRNA from 1 species